GUUGGGACAAGAGGACGGUCUU
rnacentral:miRNA from 1 species